rnacentral:rRNA from 1 species
CAAGUGUAAUCGAAUUACUGGGCGUAAGCGCACGCAGGUGGUCUUCAAGUCGGAUGUGAAUCCCCGGGCUCAACAUGGGAAUCCAUCCGAACUGGCAGGCUAGAGUCUGUAGAGGGGGUAGAAUUCCAGGUGUAGCGGUGAAAUGGUAGAGAUCGGAGGAAUACCGGUGGCGAAGGCGGCCCCCUGGACAAAGACUGACGCUCAGGUGCGAAAGCGUGGGGAGCAAACAGGAUUAGAUACCCUGGUAGUCCACGCCGUAAACGAUGUCGACUUGGAGGUUGUGCCCUUGAGGCGUGGCUUCCGGAGCUAACGCGUUAAGUCGACCGCCUGGGGAGUACGGCCGCAAGGUUAAAACUCAAAUGAAUUGACGGGGGCCCGCACAAGCGGUGGAGCAUGUGGUUUAAUUGGAUGCAACGCGAAGAACGUUACCUAGUCUUGACAUCCACGGAACUUGGCAGAGAUGAUUAGGUGCGUUGGGGAACGGUGAGACAGGUGCUGCAGGGCUGUCGUCAGAUCGUGUUGUGAAAUGUGGGGUUAAGUGCCGCAAUGAGCGCAACCAUUAUCAUCUGUGGCCAGGGAUUCGGUAGGGAAUUGAAAGGAGACGGCCGGUGAUGAAGUGGAGGAAGGAGGGGACGACGUCAAGGUAGCCAGGG